rnacentral:misc_RNA from 1 species
UCUCCGUUGGUGAACCAGCGGAGGGAUCAUUACAGAGUUUUUCUACUCCCAAACCACUGUGAACAUAUACCUAUAGUGUUGCUUGGGCGUGUUAACGCCCCGGCAGGCUCAAAAAGCCGACGGAAGCAGGCGCCGGCCGGGGGACCCAAACGCUUGUAUAUCUUACUUCUGAUGUCUUAUUCGUAUUAUAACAAAAUUAAUAACAACUGUCAACAACGGACCUCUUGCGUCUAGCAUCGAAGAAGAACGGAGCAGAACGGAAGAGCACACGAGUCA